GCUUGGUGGUUAUAGA
rnacentral:rRNA from 1 species